GAUGAAGAACGCAGUGAAAUGCGAUAAGUAGUGUGAAUUGCAGAAUUCAGUGAAUCAUCGAAUCUUUGAACGCACAUUGCGCCCCUCGGUAUUCCGUGGGGCAUGCCUGUUCGAGCGUCCUUUAACCCCUCAAGCCUAGCUUGGUAUUGGGUGCUUGUCCCGCCUCUCGCGCGGCGACUCACCUCAAAGUCAUUGGCAGCCCGCAUCUCGCCGGCCGUGAGCGCAGCACAGACGCGCUCUUGGCAACGACGGAUCGGCUCUCCAAAAGCUUAUUUCAACCACUGACCUCGGAUCAGGUAGGGAUACCCGCUGAACUUAAGCAUAUCAAUAAGCGGAGGA
rnacentral:misc_RNA from 1 species